rnacentral:lncRNA from 1 species
ACUGAGUCGCCGACUCCACAAGGGGAGUCGCCGACACUGGCGAGGCGCCAAGUAGUUCGUUCACGGUGGCACUUAGCUCCAUAUCAUGAGGUGGCACGAUCGGAAUCGCCGACUCAACCUCUCUGUCAGGAGAGGGAAUCGGCGAUUCAACGGUGUUCAACACCUCAUCCAGAUUCUCAACAGUGAUUUCAGCUAUGAAAGCUGACGUUUCAUCUUCGGACAAAGGGGAAUCGGGGGUAGACAUGAGGGCAAUC